CAGAGUUCCAAAAAUGUAACACAAGAAACAGUAAAGGGCCCUGGACUCAAACUCCCUCUGUGCAAGUCCUGGCUGUGUUUCUUGCUACCGGCGUAAUGGUAGUGCUAUUUAAGCAGCAGUGCAUGUCUCCUCACAUUUGAAAAUAUUGAUUGGGUCUUGAAGACAGAAUAACAAGCGCCAGAACUCAAGCAUUUUGCCAGGAGUGGUGCUGCCUCAUCAGUACUUCAGAUCCAGGCAGGGAAACUGUCAGCAGAACUGCUCCAAAGUCUGCUUUGUGAAAUGCACAUAAGCGGUCUCCCAGACCCACUUUCCAUCCUUCUCCUUUCUGAGGAGGAGGUGGUUAGAAAAAAAAGAAGAAGACAACAAAAGAGUAGAUGAGAGAGAUGUGGCAAAAGAAGAGGCAGAAGAGAAGAGGCAAGAGAAGGAUUCUCCCACCCAUUGCUGUCUUUAGAGAUGCAGGCUAUGAGCCAAAAAGCACAGAUAGCUCCGGAAGCUGAGGACAAGCCACACUGCCCACACUCCCGCAACUGCCCAGAACUGAAUUUUGCCAAUUACCUGCAUAAAUCAGAAAAUGGAUGCUCACUAGAGUCUCCAGAAGGGAGCCUGGCUUGCUGACACCUAGAUUUUUGUCUUGUGAGACUGAUCAGAGGAAUUAUCCCAGCACACUUGACUUCUGAAAUUGUGAUAUAUCUAUGCCUGCAGAAACCCAUGACAUGCAGAAACUAUGAGUUAAUAAAUGAAUGUUGUUUUAAGC
rnacentral:lncRNA from 1 species